CAACAAGCAGCGCAUCUAUUCACUGAGCUCAUUCUGCUAAAACCCUAAACCCUUUUGAAAACCAUUACUGAUUACUCAGAUCAGAUCUCAUUUGCUCGUUCAAUCAUUCCUUCACCCUCGAACCCCUGUAAUGGCUUCAGCCUGCAGGCAGUUCGCCAACAGAGCAUCCCUAUCGUCCAUCCGAUCCUCCAUCAGAUCCAACGCCCCAAAAUCUCCCACCUCACGCUUCCCUCUCCCGACAUCCACUCCCUCUACUCCUCUUCGCCGCUCCUCACUCUCAAGGCCUCCGGGUGCACUGGGAUGCGUGCAAUCACUACUGCCACUCCACAGCGCGGUGGCGGCGGCGAGAAUGACGUCGUCUCUGAGCAUCACAUCGAGGAGUUGCCGUGCGCUCUCACAGGGUACUCUCUGCCGCACCUCUCCCGGCCUCUAAUAAAAAAAAAUUGCUUUCUUUUCUAACUAGCUUGGUCUGUCAGUUCCAAGGUGAUUCGCAGCAGGCUGUGUCACCAUUACAGGAAGUUAGCUUCACAAGAAUGGAAAAGCAAAGAUUUUGUAGUUUUAUUUAUUCAAACUCAUUCACAGCACUGAAGCUAAAUUCGAUUCUUCCUACAAGAUAGGAUGUUAGUGGUUGUUAAAUAAUAAUUCAGUUGGCUUGUUCAAUACUAAAUUUUUAUGCAUCUUUGAUUUGGAAUACAAGUCCAUGUCUUUCCAGACAUCCUGGCCACCUUAUGGCGAGCAUACCAUGCUUGAUGCUAUUACUUCAAUGUUUAAAUCGAAACCCAUGUAAUCUUAAGGUCAGCAUUCUUCAUAUUGUUGGACGAGGUGUAAUAAAUUUGGUUUCAUGUUUUUGAGUGGUGUUUUCUCACCAUAAUAUACUCAA